rnacentral:sRNA from 1 species
GCUGGGCGUGGUGGUGCUCGCCUGUAAUCCCAGCUACUCGGAAAGCUGAGGCAAAAGGAUGGCAAGUUCGAGGCCAGCCUCAGCAAUUUAGCCAGACCCUGUCUCAA